rnacentral:rRNA from 1 species
CUACAGGCUUAACACAUGCAAGUCGAGGGGCAGCAUGGUCUUAUCUUGCUAAGGCCGAUGGCGACCGGCGCACGGGUGAGUAACGCGUAUCCAACCUGCCUUACACUCUUGGACAGCCUUCUGAAAGGGAGAUUAAUACAAGAUGUUAUCAUGAGUAAGCAUUUUCGCAUGAUUAAAGGUUUACCGGUGUAAGAUGGGGAUGCGUUCCAUUAGAUAGUAGGCGGGGUAACGGCCCACCUACUCUUCGAUGGAUAGGGGUUCUGAGAGGAAGGUCCCCCACAUUGGAACUGAGACACGGUCCAAACUCCUACGGGAGGCAGCAGUGAGGAAUAUUGGUCAAUGGACGAGAGUCUGAACCAGCCAAGUAGCGUGAAGGAUGAAGGUUCUAUGGAUUGUAAACUUCUUUUAUACGGGAAUAAACGGAUCCACGUGUGGAUUUUUGCAUGUACCGUAUGAAUAAGGAUCGGCUAACUCCGUGCCAGCAGCCGCGGUAAUACGGAGGAUCCGAGCGUUAUCCGGAUUUAUUGGGUUUAAAGGGAGCGUAGAUGGGUUGUUAAGUCAGUUGUGAAAGUUUGCGGCUCAACCGUAAAAUUGCAAUUGAUACUGGCAGUCUUGAGUACAGUUGAGGUAGGCGGAAUUCGUGGUGUAGCGGUGAAAUGCUUAGAUAUCACGAAGAACUCCGAUUGCGAAGGCAGCUUACUAACCUGUAACUGACAUUGAUGCUCGAAAGUGUGGGUAUCAAACAGGAUUAGAUACCCUGGUAGUCCACACGGUAAACGAUGAAUACUCGCUGUAGGCGAUAUACGGUCCGCGGCCAAGCGAAAGCAUUAAGUAUUCCACCUGGGGAGUACGCCGGCAACGGUGAAACUCAAAGGAAUUGACGGGGGCCCGCACAAGCGGAGGAACAUGUGGUUUAAUUCGAUGAUACGCGAGGAACCUUACCCGGGCUUAAAUUGCAACCGAAUAUGGCGGAAACGCUAUAGCUAGCAAUAGCGGUUGUGAAGGUGCUGCAUGGUUGUCGUCAGCUCGUGCCGUGAGGUGUCGGCUUAAGUGCCAUAACGAGCGCAACCCUUGCCGAUAGUUACUAACAGGUUAUGCUGAGGACUCUGUCGGGACUGCCAUCGUAAGAUGUGAGGAAGGUGGGGAUGACGUCAAAUCAGCACGGCCCUUACGUCCGGGGCUACACACGUGUUACAAUGGGGGGUACAGAGGGCUGCUACCACGCAAGUGGAUGCCAAUCCCAAAAACCUCUCUCAGUUCGGAUUGAAGUCUGCAACCCGACUUCAUGAAGCUGGAUUCGCUAGUAAUCGCGCAUCAGCCACGGCGCGGUGAAUACGUUCCCGGGCCUUGCACUCACGCGCCCUUC